GCCCAGCUGACACAGGGAGGUGGCAGCUGUGCCUCCACGCUGCAUGGCUUGGCUAGGAACAGGGCUGUAAACACGAUACAGGGAAGACAACUAUUCACACAGCCACGCAGCCGUCUCAUCUAAGAAGGUGCCAGCACUGAAUCUGGGUGGAAUAUAAAUGCUGUUCCUUUCUGCCUCUUAAAUGAGACCAGUUCAAAAAGUGGAGUUUGCUCAUGGAUGGUCUCAGGAGGAGCAAGAUAUUCCACCCCCUAUGGAGGACUUCACCUGAACUAGAGCAGAGCAAUUAAAUCAAGAUAAGUGGUCACAGCCUGCUAAAGAAACAACAUGAAACGUACAGCGAACUGUAAACAACCAAAUAAAAUGACUCACUGUUACACUAUGAUCAUAUAUUCCCACUAAAGAAAUCUUAGUCCACAGCUUAAGACUCCAUGGUCUCCAAUAUACAUUAACUGUGAUCUAGUCUCUCACUCAUCCUUUACAAACCUAUGCAAAAGAAACCUCUGCAGCAGAGCUUAGUAUACACCAGUAAAAAGUAUUAGACUUUUUGGUGAACGCUGCUGGUGUGGGAGCAGUCUGUUAAAAGCAGUAAGGAAGCAUUUACAGCCUCUGGACCAGGUGCUGGAGCUAAAAAGCAAUAAAAAUGGCUGAGUGAAGACUGGUAGUUUGGACUGGGAGCUUAGCAUUAGCUUCUUAGAGCUAAAGUCUGGAUGGGAAACCAGCAGCAGAAGCAAUGACUGUUGGGAGAUGGUAACUGGAAUGAGCUGUGGUUGGAGGCUCGUGCUGGAACAAGGCUCUUGGGCAGGGAGACAGAAGAGAGCUAGAAGAGUCAGGCAGCCCCGUGCAUGUCAGCUUUUAAUCCUGUCAAGCCUGCAGUGAAGCCAGUGAGUCUUGAGCUCUACCAUUCCUCAGCUGCUAGCAAUUUUCAUGAAACCUCUUGCAGUUUUGCUGCUGUUAAUGGUAAGUACAUCAGACUGACUCGCUGGGUCAGACCAUCUAACCCAAUAUCCUGUCUCCUCCCACAGCCAGAAGUAAAUGCUAAGGGAAGAACACAAGAACAGACCCACAAAGUAAGCUGAUGAAUGGCUGUAAGCCAGCUAACUGUUGGACACUGAGGAUCUUUACCUGCUGGGACCACAGGAAAAAGCAUGAGGAAAAAGAUGUGUCCACCCAUCACCAAUUUGACAAACAAGGGAGCUUCAGGUCUGCACAGAGAUAAUGCCGGGAGAGUGGAAAGUUCCCUGUCAUGAUCAUGCAAUGUGAGGGACUACCUUGUCCUCCAAUUUCUCUAAGGCCCAGAUGAACCAGGAGUCUUUACCCAAGUAGGUAGCAUCAGCAUACAUUUUAUUCUCAUUCAAACCAACAGUGUUCAAACAUUCUCUGAAAUUAACCCAUGCUUAACGGGUUUCAUGAACAAGAACCCCAGCUCCAGAGAAGCACCCACAUGUGCAAACUGCACAGUGUUUGGGAAGCUGUGGCAGACAGCAGACAGGAAGCUGAACUUGGCAAGUCACAAGCUCCAGCAGAAUGGAGAUGCACAGCACUGCCUUCAGGACGCAGAUAAAGUGGCAAGGAGCUGACCAGCUACUUGGUCAUUUCUACAGGCUGAUACACAAUACAGUAUUGUUUCAUUUGAGAGAAUCCCUGCUUACUGUAGGGAAAAGCCCUUCCCUACUUGAUUGCAUCAAGUUUUGUUUGUUUGUUCUUACCAAAGCAUUAAAGUCACCUUCAUUCUGUGAAGAUAACAGAGCAGAAGACAGAGACAAGGCCAGCACUGCUCGCUAGUGCAGCAAGAAAAAGUAAAUUGCUUUCUUUUAGGGCAGAAUUUCACACAGAUGGUGCACAGGUGUUUCCUGUACAUCAUAGUAAUAUGUGAGUAACACACAGGGAAAUUAGUAGGGUGGUUCAUGUCCAUGAGGUUGUCCCCUUCUUAUGGCUUUUUGUCAGACUUUAGUGACUAAAAGUAUGUCUUAAGCUUGUCAGCCUAAGUCCUGCAAUUUCCCAUAGCUAACAGUCAGGAAUCCUUCCCAAACUCAAGGGCUGAAAAGGGAUUAUUCUAGACAUUAUCAAGUAAUUGACUUUCAGCUUUUUUACUUUACAUUUUGACAUUGAGCUCUGAAAUAAGUAAAGCUGGAAACCAUUUCUGUGUUACAUGAAGGGUAAAAGAAAGAGAUAGUAUCCCUUCAAACAGGCUAGGUGUGUAAGAGAUGGCUCUAUCAGCUGAAGAUCAGCAGUAUCAACUACAAACUUCUCCGUCAAAGCUAAUUUUCCAGUCUCCCUGGAGAAGAUCGGUUGUGUACACAUUCCUCUCCAGGCACCUGCACAGGAUGUGGGCACACUCAAGGACAGGAAGGCUUUCUGUUCCCCAAACAUGCAGGUGUGUGCAAAGUCAGGCGUCAGCUCUGCAUUUUCAGGAUCAUUUCAUAUUGCACACGCAGUGCUGUUUUGCUGGAUGUCAGCAAUCUGAAGCUGUUUUCUCACUGAUAGAGUUGUGGUAAAUACGACAGUAAAUGGACGGCUCUGAUGGAUGGUUCCCCUCCAGCUCUUUCAAGAUGGGGGAUUAUCAGUGUUCUCUGCUGCAUUCUCCAAACCACAGCCAAGAAGGGAGGGUUUGGUGAGCACACUCUAUAUUGCACUUUAAUGUGGCUGAGAAAGAAGUUAUUUUUAUUUCAUUAACAGAAACAUGAGCCAAAUAAUAAGAAGUAAGGCAACUGUUGAUGGCUUACUGUUUUCCAGGUUGGUGCUUAUUUUGGUAUUUAUAUCAUAGGAUAAUUGUUGACUUGCCUCCAUGAGCAAAAUGAAGUGACCAGCAGAGACAGACAAGAUCAUGUUAAAACUCAAAUAAGGAGAGACAUGUCAAACAGUAAAAAAAUGCGAAGCAGACAAGCUAAGUAUAUUUAAAGUCAUAAGCAAUUAGUAAUUAAAAGAUAAGAUAAAACAGAAAUAAGGAGUUUGCAAUAUAACUCUUAUCUGGUUCUUGUAAUUGCUUCUAAGCCUGAGGCUGGUGUUUGGGGUCUAUUUCUUUUCCUAAUCCUACCAAAGUAAAAUUUAAUCCUCCCGAGUAGGUCAUUUACAGUCUCAUCUAUGUGAAGACCCUUAAGUAAAUAUCACAGAAUCACAGAAUAAUCUAGGUUGGAAGAGACCUUCAAUAUCACUGAGUCCAACCUGUGACCUAACACUAACAAGUCCUUCACUAAACCAUAUCACUAAGCUCUACAU